rnacentral:rRNA from 1 species
GUGACGCUGGCGGCGUGCCUAAUACAUGCAGUCGAGCGGACAGAUGGGAGCUUGCUCCCUGAUGUUAGCGGCGGACGGGUGAGUAACACGUGGGUAACCUGCCUGUAAGACUGGGAUAACUCCGGGAAACCGGGGCUAAUACCGGAUGGUUGUCUGAACCGCAUGGUUCAGACAUAAAAGGUGGCUUCGGCUACCACUUACAGAUGGACCCGCGGCGCAUUAGCUAGUUGGUGAGGUAACGGCUCACCAAGGCAACGAUGCGUAGCCGACCUGAGAGGGUGAUCGGCCACACUGGGACUGAGACACGGCCCAGACUCCUACGGGAGGCAGCAGUAGGGAAUCUUCCGCAAUGGACGAAAGUCUGACGGAGCAACGCCGCGUGAGUGAUGAAGGUUUUCGGAUCGUAAAGCUCUGUUGUUAGGGAAGAACAAGUGCCGUUCAAAUAGGGCGGCACCUUGACGGUACCUAACCAGAAAGCCACGGCUAACUACGUGCCAGCGGCCGCGGUAAUACGUAGGUGGCAAGCGUUGUCCGAAAUUAUUGGGCGUAAAGGGCUCGCAGGCGGUUUCUUAAGUCUGAUGUGAAAGCCCCCGGCUCAAC